UCCAAUGUCUUAAGAACUUCAACUUUAUAUUAAUUUCAGAUCUUGUUUCCUGCCACCGGUGUUAUAAGAAGUAUAAAAAUGCAAACACACUCAGAAUGCAUUUAAUUCUCGACUGUGGAAAACCUAAAAGUUAUGAGUGCGGUGUUUGUGGCAAGAAAUUUAGAAGACCCGUACACUUGAAGCAACACGUCAGGGUGCACUUCUAAUGCUUUCAGACUGUACGGUUGUGCUUAAUAAAUGCAUUUUCGAAUGAAGUUUACGUUUUAUUAUGGGCACUGUAGAAAUGGAUGUACACUUUCAGUAAUGAAAUGUUUCAGUGUUCUGCAAUCUACACUGCCAAUGAUUGAAUCAACAUUAGUACCACCAAAUACAAAACCAAAUCGACCAGGAUUCAAUACAGUUAAUAAUCCAGUGAUUCCGGAUCGUUUUCCUCGUAGCAGAACAGCCAUCACCAGAGCACAAUCUGAAAAGUUGAUGCAAGCGUUCAUGAUGAACCCAUUUCCACAUGAAGAUGUCAAGAGAAAAUUGGAGGUUGACUUAAGCCUUUCUUAUAAAGUUAUCAACACCUGGUUUAAAAAUAGAAGACAUAUAGACAAAAAAUUUAUUCAGAGAAAAUACUUCGCCAAAAAUUGAACUCACAAUGAUCAUUUCACGCUGCAAUGUUCAUUUAAACGAAAUUGAAUAAUCAUUGAAUAAUUUUGUGAGGAAGAUUUCUUAUUAAAUUAUUUGAUAAUUGCUCAA